GCCGAAAUAGCUCAGUUGGGAGAGUGUUAGACUGAAGAUCUAAAGGUCCCUGGUUCGAUGCCGUGUUUUCGGCA